UAUCGCAAUGAUGAACAGAGGUUU
rnacentral:snRNA from 1 species